rnacentral:rRNA from 1 species
UACGUAGGGUGCGAGCGUUGUCCGGAAUUACUGGGCGUAAAGAGCUCGUAGGUGGUUUGUCGCGUUGUCCGUGAAAACUCACAGCUCAACUGUGGGCGUGCGGGCGAUACGGGCAGACUGGAGUACUGCAGGGGAGACUGGAAUUCCUGGCGUAGCGGUGGAAUGCGCAGAUAUCAGGAGGAACACCGGUGGCGAAGGCGGGUCUCUGGGCAGUAACUGACGCUGAGGAGCGAAAGCGUGGGGAGCGAACAGG